rnacentral:lncRNA from 1 species
GGGAACUAAAAUACUUUGGCUCUGGGUGAGGCACAAUUUGCACGGAGUUGGAAGGUGCACCUGUCAGUUGCUUGGUUUACCUAUACCUCAGAGCCCUGUAUCUUCCUGAAGGAGAAAGGGAACUAGUGCUUUGCAAGUGGGUCUCUCAUAAUCACUUAAUUAUGAUUAUUCAGACACAAAAGGAAAUUCUGGAAUUAGCAACCACAGUAAUCAGCAUUCUUCCCAUUUUGAAGAUGAGGACAUGUAGUACACAGCACAGGUAGUAUAUAGCAAAGCCCAAACUCAACAUGUCUGUGUGAUCUUAGCCCUGAGCUAUCAUUUCAAGAGAAGACAUCAAGAACUAAGGCCACAGGCAAGAAACAAAGAAGCUGGGAUUAGCAGCUUGUGACAUCAGAGAACACAGGCAACGUCUCGGAGCUCCACUGCGGCAAUGGAAGGAACUUAGAAGGAGUGUUGAGUGUUUACAACAUGGUGCCAGAUAUUUGGAAAGAAAUAAGUGUGACUGAAGUAUGAAGAGGGGACUCUUUCUUUCACCUAAUAAAUGGUUUAGUGACGACUCAGUCACACCCCAAGGUCACUCUUGAAAUCACAGCCUUAUGAAGUGGCCCACGAGAAUCAGACCAGCUGCUAGUGUCUCCUUCUCUUCCAAAGCUCCCAGAAAGACAGCUGCCCCUUGGAAGAUUUAUUUCUUAAGCCAGGAGUUCUCAGACUUAGCAGUCUAUCUGUGCCACUGUGUUCCACAAAAGAUGGUGAGAAAUACUGUCUCCAUAUUACAGGUCCACCCUCCAACCUUCUCCAUCCUGCUUUCUGUCUCAGGAUUCUGCCCUUUAUGGACUACAUCAACUGGGCUCCCUGGCCCUUUGGAUUUGGCCAAUAAAAGCACCAAGAAGAGAUCAAAAGUCAAAAGAGAGACAGAUUUGGGCAUCUGUUCUCAUUUUCCUCCCUGCUGGACCACAGGAUGACAGUGGCUGUCUACAGUUCCUGUCCAGGGGGUCCUCUCUUAACACCUACACAUCUCAGCACGUUCUCAUAGCCACUCCCUCCCCUUGUACCUGUUUUCCACCAUUGCUGGCCCCAGAAACCUCAACAUCCCUGAAGAUUUUCCCCUAAACUUGCCCACAUCUUUGUAAAGAGGCCAUUGUUGAAAUCUAUUUCAUAACCCUUUUUGGUUUACCAUCUGUGUCCUGUUCCCCAGCUGAAACACAGUUAUGUCCAAACUUACUUUAUAAUCACUUAUGGAGCUUUAGAAAAAUAGAUUUCCAGACCCUACUGAAGACCUAAUGAAUCAGAAUCCCUAUUCUUGGAGCUAAGGAAUAUGUAACUUUAACAAACAACCCAGGUGAUUCUGAUCCAGCCAACCUGGCAAGCAUCCCUGGAUGAGCAUUUGGGAGCCACUGCUCUGCAGACCCUACCAUGCCAAACUGAAGCAUUUGAAAACAAACAGGACACUCCGGAACACAACCCCAGCUACCCUUCCCUCUAACACCACAGCAACCAACACACCAGAAAAAGAAGUGGACUCUCUAUGGGGACAUCCAAAGCAGAAGAAAACAAGCAUAUGGUCUACAGUGAUAGGAGAUGGUCCUGAGCACAUUAAGUAAC